rnacentral:rRNA from 1 species
AGAGUUUGAUCCUGGCUCAGGACGAACGCUGGCGGCGCGCUUAACACAUGCAAGUCGAACGGGUGCCUUCGGGUGCCAGUGGCGAACGGGUGCGUAACACGUGAGCAACCUGCCUGUCGGUGGGGGAUAACCCGGGGAAACCCGGGCUAAUACCGCAUACGUUCCUUCAGUCGAGUGGCGGAAGGAGGAAAGCUCCCGCGAGGGAGCGCCGGUAGAGGGGCUCGCGGCGUAUCAGCUAGCUGGUGGGGUAACGGCCCCACCAGGGCGACGACGCGUAGCCGAUCUGAGAGGAUUGAUCGGCCACAUUGGGGACUGAGAUACGGCCCAAACUCCUUACCGGGAGGGAGCAGUGGGGAAUCUUGCCGCAAUGGGGCGAAAGCCCUGACCCCACGACCCCCCCGUGGCGGGAAGAAACUCCUUCCGGGGUGGGAAACCGCUUUUCAGGGGGGAAAAAACGGGGCGGGGGGAAGGCAAUGGCCCUUCCUUUUUGACGGUACCCCCCGAAGGAAAGCAACCGGCUAAAUCUGUGCCCACCAGCCGCCGGUAAUAAAAGAAGGGUGCGAGCGUUGUUUCGAAUUACUGGGCGUAAAGCGCGCGCAGGGCGGCUUUCUUUAAUUCCAUCCGGUGAAAUGGCCGGGGCUCCAACCCCCAAUGUGGCGAGGAUACUGGGAGGGUGGGAGACGAAGUAGAAGGCAAGCCGAAUUUCCGGGUGGUAGCGGGUGGGAAUGCGUAUAGAUCCCGGGAAGAAACACACGAAGGCGAAAGGCGCCUUGCUGGGCCUUGUUCUGUACGCCUGAGGCGGGAAAAGCGGUGGGGACGCAAACAAGGAAUAGAAUCCCCGGGGUAGUCCACCCCGGUAAAGCGGAUGGGCCACUAGACGCGGGGGGGGUAUCGCCCCCUUUCCGGUGUCGCAGUAUAACGCGAUAAAGUGCCCCCCCUGGGGGGAGUACCGCCCCCAGGGCUAAAAUCUAAAAGGAAAUUGAGGGGGGCCCGCACCAAGCGGGUGGGAGCAUGGGGUUUAAUUUGGAAGCAACGGGGAAGGACCUUACCUGGGGCUUGAACAUCUUGGUGAAAGCCUUGGGAAAAGGGGGGCCCUUUUUUCGGGAGCCCCAGGACCAGGUGCUGCAAUGGCUGUCUUCAGUUCGUUUCCGUGAAGAUGUGGGUUAAAGUCCCGCCAACGAAGCCGCAACCCUUUAUCCUCUUUUUCCCAAGGGAGUAAAAUUCGGGGGAUUUUGGAGGAGGACUGCCGGGUGACAAACCCGGGAGGAAGGGUGGGGGACGACGUCAAGUCAUUCAUGGUCCUUACGCCCCAGGGCUUCCACACGUGCUACAAUGGCCAGGACAAAGCGCAGCGAGGCCCGCGAGGCCGGAGCGAAUCGCAAAAACCUGGUCCAAGUUCGGAUCGCAGUCUGUAACUCGACUGCAUGAAGCCGGAAUCGCUAGUAAUCGUGGGUCAGCUACACCACGGUGAAUACGUUCCCGGGCCUUGUACACACCGCCCGUCACGCCAUGGGAGUCGGGAGCGCCCGAAGUCCGUGAGCCAACCCGCAAGGGAGGCAGCGGCCGAAGGCGAGCUCGGUGACUGGGGCGAAGUCGUAACAAGGUAACC